GCUUUGCGUGACCGCGGCAGGUUGGUCCUGGAGCAGAUAAGCUCAGAAUAUUUAGGCGAAAGCUAGAGGAGGGGGGGAGCGCGGGGCAGGAGGAGUACCUCGGCCAAGAAAAUUAUGCAUGCGUUAGGGAAGCUCUGAGAGAAUGGCUGUGGAAGCUCUUCACUGUGGUUUGAAUCCACGGGGCAUUGAUCACCCUGCCCAUGCUGAAGGUAUUAAACUGCAAAUUGAAGGUGAAGGUGUGGAAUCUCAAUCCAUUAAAAACACAAAUUUCCAGAAGGUGCCUGACCAGAAAGGAACCCCCAAGCGACUGCAGGCAGAAUCUGAGACAGCUAAGUCAGCUACAGUGAAGCUGUCUAAACCGGUGGCUCUAUGGACCCAGCAGGAUGUCUGCAAGUGGUUGAAGAAACAUUGUCCGAAUCAGUAUCAGAUCUACAGUGAGUCAUUCAAACAGCAUGACAUAACUGGGCGAGCCCUGCUGAGACUUACUGACAAAAAGCUUGAGCGAAUGGGGAUUGCCCAGGAGAACCUCCGGCAGCACAUCUUACAACAGGUGCUCCAGCUGAAGGUGCGAGAAGAAGUCAGAAAUCUACAGUUACUCACACAAGGAUAUUCAGGAAUAUGGAGAUAUCCCUGACUCCUCCAAAAGAAUGGCCAAGAUCAUGCCUAAUUAACUCCAUGUCCUGGGAAAGCCCCGCUCUAAUGGAGAUGACAUCUUCUCCAGUGCUCUAUAGGGUGGAGAAGAUGAAGAAAUCUGCACACAGCCCCCAUGAAGAUUCCAGUGUUGUGGCUGGGAAUCUCUGUCUCCCUUUAUGCUGGCUACAUGAAAAAAGUGUGUUUUUGCUUACAGAGACCUGGUGGCCAUUAGAAGCAUCAGCCGAGGGUUCUCCAUAAACACGGUUAGCCUUCCAAGCUGCUGUCCUGCCAGUUGAUAUGAACAUGGCCUGUUCCUCACAGAAAGACUAACCCAUGGCACUGCCAGAAGAUAUCCUUGGAUCAUGGACAGAUUAACUGGAUUAACUGGAAAAAAAACACCCAUUCAGUCAAGAUUAUGGGCUUUGGAAAAAUCUUACUUUGCUGUGGAUUUAAAAUGAGGUGCAUAAUAUAGUGCCAACUCGUUCCAAGUGGUCAUGGGCAGACCAUUAGCUGGAAAAUUGCUUCCAGUUUUCAUCACUGUGCAUAACUCAAGUUCCCUUUGGGGAGCUGUCUGUGCCCUUCACUAGAAGUCCUGUUUUAGCAUGGCAACUACUGGAUUAUUUUAUUAUGUGUGCAGAUGGCAUGAUGUUUUAGAAAAAAAAAAUUACAGCAGUUCUGCAAUCUCAGUGGAAGUGUUCACAAUAUUAUGCCCUGGUAGGAAUGUAAACAUGUCUCGAUUAUGUUAGUUAUGACGUCUAAAGGUAUUCCGUCCAACUCUUAAGCACUUUAUAUGAGAACACUACACCAAGAUGAAUCAGCACGUUCAGCACAUGUGAGAAAUCAAGUAUUUUUAUUUUUAUAAAUCUUGGUGGGUUUUUUUUUUUCUGGCUCAGACUGUCCAAGACAAACUCCACUACUAGCAUAACCCCAGUUGUUUGUGGUAGGUUGAUGUAAAUAUGGCCACAAUACUGUUAGACUUCACCUCCGGAUACUUUACUGAACAACUGAUUUACUUGUAGUGCCAAAGGGAAGCCCUAGGGGGUCUAGUGAUUGUGUUAACUUAGCUUGCUUCUUUGUUCGCAGGCACAAUUGACCACAUGCACAUACAGGCACUCAAAUACAGGAGGCUUCUAUUUGGCUAAUGUAGAUAUUCCCUUAUUCUGUAGAAGAGUUCCUCCAAAGGAAAAAAAGGGGAUGGUAUUCUUUUAAUCAAAGACCAUGGUAGAUGGAUGGUUAGGGCAACAGAAUGCAAUUCUUUUGUGUGGUCUGACUUUAACACUUCAGAAAAACAUCCUAAGUCAGGUUGAAAUCGCCAUUCUUUCAAGAGAGAAACAUCAAGUGACCCUACUAUGUGCCUAGAGAAGAAAAAGUGUCAAGUCCUAUACUAAGUUCCCUUACUUAGUGUAGAACCUACCAGUCCCGUGUUAAUCCUUUCUGGGAUUAUACCUGUGACUAAUUGUUUUUUGUUUUUUGGUUUGUUUUUUUUUUUUAACUACGUCUUACAACAAAGCACAGUCCUGGGAAACCAGUCAACUUAAUUAUUGCUUGUCUUUGAGCAUUAGAGACAUGUUCAUGUUGACUUGCUACAUAACAGUGUAGCAUGUUUUUUCCUGAAAAUAUCAAGUUGACUGAAUGGAAAGCUCAGCAAAGUAUGUUCUGUGUGCCCACUGUCCCAACCUGGGACUGACGGGCAUCAGAGGCUUUGCUUUAAAAUAUAGUGUAACCACUUCUGGAAGACUUCCAAUGCAAGCAAGCUUGGUGUUUUAGGGUAUCUCCAGAUACAUAAGCAUUGUCUGCCUCCACUCAGGGUCUCAGGAAAUACACAGCCCAUUAGAAACCACCCCUGCCUGAAAUUUGGAAACCUGACAGGGGAAGGGAGGAAGGUCCAAAUGAGUCAGCAGCAGGAUGACUCACCACAAGCCUGGCAGGCUUCAGAGCCAGAGAAGGGGGCUUCCAACAAGGAACUCAGAUAAGUUUCAGUCGCCACCAAAAUCUGGCCCUUCGACAGGUCAGCACCAGGACUGCCAGGCCCUCUGCAGACCGUAAUUCUCCUCACAUCUAUAAUUAGGAGACCAAACUCCGGCUGCCAACACCCUUGGACACAAUAUUCCCGUCUCUACUGCCCAUCUCAUGUGGUUCAGUUCUAAUAGCAGGUCUUCUUCUUCCUUUCAUUCCUUCCUUUAUUCAGCAAGCAUUUGUUGAGCAUCUAUUGUGUGCCAAGCAUUGUGCUUGGGCAACAACAGUCCACAAAGCAGACUCCCCACCUGCCCUUAGGAAACUGUAUCUCCUCCUUCCAAACAUUAUCACUACCCCCACCUUUUCCACAAUGAAUACUUAAUUCAGACAGCAUUCUCCAUUCUGCCAGAGUAACCUAGGAAGAAGAACAUGGCAGCAGACGGAUCCUCAGGGAGCAGACAGCAGACUGAGAGAUAGUAAACCGCAUCAGACCACAUAUUUGCACCUUUCAGUUACAGCCAACUCUUUGAGGGCCCAGACUGAGCUGGUUGGAGCUCCCCAAAGCAGCAUUCAAUUGCUUUUCCUUGAUAUCCACCCUGGCCACCUAUGUUCCCUUUCUUUAUACAGGCACAACCAUUCACCUCUACGCUGGAUUAUCUAACACUCCAGUUCUAUAACUAAUCCAGGGGACACACAGUUGAGUCUGAUGAAGCCUAAGAACUGCCAUGUGCUGAGAUAUUGUAACUGGGAAUUAAGAUUUAGCCAAGGACAUCGUGAGGCUACUGCUGACUCUCUUGGAAAACUGGACAUGCUUUGUAGUGCAGAUGUUCACUAAAUGAUGGUGGUUCAUUGUUACUUACUUUGACCUUUGCAAAAUAUUCUGAACAAUUCAAUAAGUAGAGUUUCCUAGUUUGUUUGUUUUGUUAAGUCAAAGGAGUGCUGUAAAAUUAUUGAAAGAUGAUGGGUGAAGAGGGACCUAGGAGAAGGCAAAAUGAGGACCAUUAAAGAGCCCCGUUGAAGACUGUAUCUCUAAAAAUGCCUUAAUGCCUGGCACAUACUCCAUGUCUGCAUACGAACUACUACUCUUUUCCAAACUGUCAACCUCUGUUUGAAAUUAUUUGGGGGGAUAGUUUUGGAAGCAUGGUGGCAUAAAAUCUGAGCAGUCAAGAGCUAAACCAGCAAAAAAGAGGAAUGACUUCAUUAGCAGGCUUUGGCUUCUUUAUUACCUGGUGGUCCCCUGUGAUCUCCCAUGGUUACCUUCAACUGUGCUGUACUUUCUUCCCAAGAUGCAUGUAUGGAAUGUUACCUCCUAGAAAUCCAGAAAUGGCUGUGGUGAGUUUUGUUUAGUCGGAAGCAAGAGGUGGGGAAGUAAAGGAUACAUAUUUUAUGUCUAAGGACUGUAAGCUGUUGAUGCUUGACUUUUCCUUUUACCUACACCUGUGCUACACCUUUAUUAAAAGGCUGACACCCGGACUUGUGCAGGAAAGGCACUCUUGGGAAUGAACAGAAAUCAGAAAUGAAUAAUUAUGAGACUUUCUUUCUGUGGUGCCAAGGGAAUUCGCUUAUUUCCACUCCAGAACUGAAUAGGCAGAGCAUUGCCAGUCCUGCUAGUGUGAAAAGCAAAUCACUUCAGUAGUUUGAGACAUACCUAGGGGAAGAGAGAUCCUAUCAACUUUCUUUGUGGGUAGUGGCGUACCUUCAAAUCCCUGCUCAGGCUCUGUGAGGUGUGCACUCGCAGAUUUCACUUCUACCUCCGGAAUCCUGGCAAACAAGCCAGGAAUCUCUCCAGAGUCACUUCGCAGUUGCUCAGAUAGAGGCCAACAGUCCUUAGUCCUGAGGAAAUUCUGUCAUUUUUAACAUUCAAGGAGAAAAGGAGUAUCAGCUGUACCUCAGAAUAUCAACUAAGGCUAAAAACCUCUAAUGGAUCCCCCUUGUUACUUGCAAAAGCUUUCUUUGUCUGCAAAUGUCACAUAAUUGAUUUUAGAUAGGAACAACAAAAGUCUCAAGGAAGUGAAGUUUUUAAGACCCCCCUUAGCACUUUACUUUCACCAAAACCUCCUCUUUCCAGUACAUUAGCAGUUUUGUUCUUUGUGAUGUUUUCCUCUACAUUCUUUAGAAUAAUUUUAUUACUUGACAACUAGACUUGUCAAUCGCCUUAGACUCUUUUUAAAAAUCUAAUCUUUUGAAAAUGACACAAAUUCCUUUAUUGCUUUAAGGCUGUUUUUAUUCACCCCUCCCACAGCCCCCUCCGCUGCACUUUUUUGUUUUUGGGUUUUUUUUUUUUCUUUCAUCUCUCUUUUAACAUGAUGCUGUAGGUUGAUUUCAAGAAUUCUAUAAAGAACUCAACAAAAAACGUAGUCGUUACCUUUUUUCCCCAUUCCUAAUAUUUCUUCUUAAGCUUGAUCUUGGUGAAAACUUGUUGCCCAAAAAGCAGUGAGGUAGGGAUUAAUAACGCUGACCAGUCAUCUGGAAGAUUAAUCCCAAUGCAGCCCUGAGAUCAGGAAGGAGGACAGGCCAGGAGAUGUUUCUACUCUGGGCACCAUUAAGGACUCUUUUCCAAAGGCAGAUCCUGCUCCUUAGAUCUGAAUCUAAUCCUGAAUCCAGAAAAUUGUCCUAUGAAUUCUGGUUUAUCAACGCACAUGAUUCCUGGCACCAUUGCAUAGCUUCAGGGUAAAAGAGAGCCGUGUUGCCAUUAUUUUGCUAUGGUGAUUUUGGGGAAGACAGAGAGCAUUCUUUUGAAAGCAGGAAACUUGAGGAAAAGUUGGCCAAGUGCACAGGAAAGUUCUACCACACCUUAAUAUAAAGAACAAAAUAGAUGCUACUCAUCUGGGGAAUAUAGCUAAAGGGACAGUAACAGUACUGACAGCCUUCUGGCCAUCACCUUAGCUCCACAGGGAAAAUUCCGGGUAAGAGCAAGCACUGUUUCUAAAAUCUAAAUUUUUUAGGGUGGAAUUUACCAGCACCAAAUGUAAAAGGGAAGUGCCAUCAGGCCUAGGGCUGGUUUUAUACUUCCUGCCCAACGGCAAAAUGACUGAGACAUGACUUCUAUGGAACAGCAGAAAAUGGAUGCCAAAGAUAUCAUAAAACUGAAGUUCAAUUUGCCACGUAAGGCUAUUUAAAAACUCUGAUGCACUCCAAGAAUUCUUCCUUUAGAGCUUUCCUCCUACCAUUAUAUCAAGCACAAGAAUACACCAACAGCACAUACUUACUGUAAUGUAAAAGUAACCAUAUGACUUGUGUUGAAUUACCAUUGGCUGGUUGACAUGAUAUUAAUAAGUGUCAUAGAUAUUUAGACAUUAUUUCUGAUCGUACAAAAUUCUUUUCAUAAUUUGGAGCCAAUGGUUUGGGAGGUUUUUUGUUUGUUUGUUUAGUUAUUUGUUGUGUUGUUGUUUUCCAAACCUCAGAUAUUUUGAGGAGCCUUAGAAAGGCUCUUAAGCCCUGGCCUUUUUGCCUCAUGUGCAGAGUAUUAAGAACAGCCCUGCUGAUGUGAACCUCAAGGAAGGAGGCUAUUAAAUUAAUCCAACACUGGAGAUACUAAUACCUCAAACAAUUAAAACACUGAAGACUCUGCUGGUCGCCUUCCACAUUGUUUACAGCCCUUUUAAAUUCAGUCAUUUGGAUCAAGAGAAAUAAACGGUUGGUUUCACGGGGUUUUUGCCAGAUUAGCACAGACACAGCUACCAAAUGUGGAGGUCUAGACUGAGUGGAUGCAUGAGAGCAAACAGAUCUGUUUUAUAUGAUUGCACUUAAUCACCACCACCGCCCAAAUUCUGUAAAAGUAUAUUCAAAUACUUAAUGCUAAAAAAAAAACUUCAAAACAGGAGACUCUUCCUGGAUCAUGCUUUCACUUAGGGUAGGAUAACUGAUCUUGAAGAUAACCUUGUAGAAAAAUUGCUGGCUGGAAUGCCCCAAGCACCUGGGGAUUGGUGCUGUCCUAUUCCACAGACUGAUCAUGGUCUUCUCCCAUCUCCUCAGAGGAGUUAGCCUGGCCUCUAAAAUAGCACAAAUGCCAUGAAAAUAUCUUUCUAAGCCAUAUAGAGACUUCCUAUCCAAGUAUAAUUCCAAAAAUAUGAUUUGAGUUUGAGCAUGCCUGUGGUCCUUCAUUCUAUGAUCCCUAAAUCAGUUCUACUUCUCUCUCUCUCUCUCUCUCUCUCUCUCUCUCUCUCUCUCUCUCUCUCCUCUUUCUUUCUUUCUCUUUCCCUCUCCCCCCAGUAUUUUUUUUUAACCACAAUUAAGUGCAUUUAGCGUGUUUACACUGGGAACUGCCUGCUGGCUCUGUGUCUACUUUUGACAAUGCCUAUGUCCAGAUACCAUACAGUGCAUUUGAGAGAGGACUAAGGUUAUGUUUCCCCACAUACCAGCUGCUGCAGAGGUUUCGAAGUGCCUGACCCAGUUCUUUUUCACAUCAAAAAGGCCUUCGGUUACAGAUGGCAACCUCAAAGAUGAAUGUAAAGUGGGGGAGGAAAUUCAUGUUUGAAUGCUGAAACACUUGUGUUUUUUAUUUUUAUUCAAUACCCACCUCAGAUCACCAGAAAGGGAAGCCUCUUUGGUGGGUGUUGGCCCCCACUGCGGGUAAAAGGGGUUCUAUUUGCUUAAACUCAUACUCGUAGGCAAUUUUAGGGCUCUCUGGGGCUCUGAAUGGUUUCUCCACCACUACCUUUCUUCCACCAAUAGAAAGAUGCUGUCCUUACAAGGCCAUGUCUGAGAAGACCAUGUUUUAACUAGUAAAAGAAGCUCACAUUGCAGAGAGUUGAGUAAUACUAGGCUCUUGACUUUGUACUGUGUGUCGCAGUCAUGAUUGGGACAGAAGGAACCAGUCUGCUGAAAAGCCAAGCCAGCACAAAUAUUUGGAAACAAAUUCCACUGAAACUCUUGUAUCAUUAAAUCAUACUACUGUAGUUUCAGUUAAUGUAAUUAUUUAAUAUAAUUAGGCACUAAAUUAAAUAGCUUUGCACAAAAUUUUAGAAAAGCUCAAUCUUGUAACAAAAUUUAAUAUUAACAGUAAAAAGCACCUGAGAAAAGAAAAUAUCGAUCUGUUGUGGUUUAUAUACUUGAGUUAUUCUUAGAACUUUGUGGAGAUUGACACUGCUCUGAUAAAAAGGAAGAAAAUGUUUUAAAUUCAAGAAUGCUAGACUAAUAGAAAUCGCCCAGUCUCUCUGGGCAACUGCUCUUCAGUAUGGGGCGCUCUCUGUCCCUCCUUAGCAGAUGGGGUUGUUUGGAGGCUAAAAUGAGCUAAGGGAAGAAGCUAUCCUGUGCCUCCAAUAUCCCUUGUGUGUAAUUAGAGUGCUGAUCUGUGUUGCAGGCUUUAUUCAAUGAUUCCUUUCCCUUACUUGAGGCUUUCUCCAUGGAGCUGUUAUUUCUGAGCCUCCAUUCUGGGAUUUACAAAGGAAACAGAAUGAUGAAGAAGUAACAAUCAGCAUUUUACACACACACACACACACACACACACGCACUUUUUCUAAUAUGUGAGGUUAGUCUGCAGAGUCCACAGCCCAGGUGUCCAUUUAUUUCCACUUCUUCACCUCCCAAAGAUUUAGAGCUCCAUGUCCUACCAAGGUGAAGACUGCCAAUCCCAGGUUGGAGAAGACCCAUCAGAGUGUGGAGGUGCCAAACUGAGAGGCACGGGAAGCAGACAGCCACAUCAAACUUUCUGGAUGAACUACUGCAUAUUGGUGUUUGUUCUAGGAAAGAAAGAGGAAGAAAAAUUACACAAUGUGAAUUGAACAUAAGAGCAGUGUUCUUUAUAGAGGAUGAGAAGGGAGCAUGGGGGAGAAUCUGAUUCCUUCACAAACACUAACAAACAUGGCUAAAAAGCACAUGUCAGAACACAGAAGCCUAGGUAGAUGGUCAACAUUUUUAUAACUUCCUUAAGUGAGUAGUUAAACCAGCAAUCUGAAUUCUGUUGGUCUCCCAAGAGUGUUUAAUUACAUAAGUAUUACCCAUACUCAUUUCCCACAACUGUUGGGUCUUUCUUUCUUUCUUUCUUUCUUUCUUUCUUUCUUUCUUUCUUUCUUUCCUUCCUUCCUUCCUUUCUUUCUUUCUUUCUUUCUUUCUUUCUUUCUUUCUUUCUUUCUUUCUUUCUCUUUUUCUCUCUUUCUUUCUCUCUUUCUUUCUUUCUUUCUUUCCUCUCUAUGCAUCCUAGAAAAACUCCCACGACUAGACUUAGCGGGAGGCAGUCAAGUUAUGUGGUAAAACAAGAGUGCCUUUUCUGUUGGAUGUCCACUUUAGUUUCCUGCCUUCCCAGGGCAUAAGAUGUUUAGAAACUUUUUUUCUCUAAACAUAAGAAUUAUUGUGUACCACAAUUUUGAACCACCGAUUUCCAUAUCUUCAGCAGCUAUCAACUCGCCAAUUCCCUUUGGGUCUCCUUUGUAUAUUCUUAUGUUCCCUUCUGUUUCCAGUUGUCCUCAAAAAGAGUUGAGGGGGGCAUAACUCUUAUAAAAUGGAUAAAAAUGAAACUGUACAGAUGUUUGCCCCCCUUGUAUCUGUGAGCAUGAUCUCUAUCAGGCUUGAAAAUCUGCUUUAUCAUUUUGUAUAUUUGACUAUUUUGUAUUCAGCAUUACUUGACUCCUUAUGUGCAUGGCAAUGUAUUAAAAUGUGGGAUUUCUAUUACCG